rnacentral:rRNA from 1 species
GAAGAUUGUUGUCGGCAGGCCUAACACAUGCAAGUCGAGCGAGCGGCGGACGGGUGAGUAAUGUCUGGGAAACUGCCUGAUGGAGGGGGAUAACUACUGGAAACGGUAGCUAAUACCGCAUACCAUCAGAUGUGCCCAGAUGGGAUUAGCUAGUAGGUGGGGUAACGCUUCACCUAGGCGACGAUCCCUAGCUGGUCUGAGAGGAUGACCAGCGACACUGGAACUGAGACACGGUCCAGAGUCAUAUGGGAGGCAGCAGUGGGGAAUAUUGAUCAAUGGGCGCAAGCCUGAUGCAGCCAUGCCGCGUGUUUGAAGAAGGCCUUAGGGUUGUAAAGCACUUUCAGCAGGGAGGCGUUACCCGCAGACGAAGCACCGGCGAACUCCGUGCCAGCAGCCGCGGUAAUUC